rnacentral:rRNA from 1 species
CACGUAGGGGGCAAGCGUUGUCCGGAUUUAUUGGGCGUAAAGAGCUCGUAGGCGGCUUAGUAAGUCGGGUGUGAAACCUCCAGGCUCAACCUGGAGACGCCACCCGAUACUGCUAUAGCUAGAGUCCGGUAGGGGAGCGUGGAAUUCCGAGUGUAGAGGUGAAAUUCGUAGAUAUUCGGAAGAACACCAGUGGCGAAGGCGGCUCACUGGACCGUUGUUGACGCUGAGGUGCGAAAGCGUGGGGAGCAAACAGG